rnacentral:rRNA from 1 species
GAUGAACGCUGGCGGCGUGCCUAAUACAUGCAAGUCGAGCGAACGGACGAGAAGCUUGCUUCUCUGAUGUUAGCGGCGGACGGGUGAGUAACACGUGGAUAACCUACCUAUAAGACUGGGAUAACUUCGGGAAACCGGAGCUAAUACCGGAUAAUAUUUUGAACCGCAUGGUUCAAAAGUGAAAGACGGUCUUGCUGUCACUUAUAGAUGGAUCCGCGCUGCAUUAGCUAGUUGGUAAGGUAACGGCUUACCAAGGCAACGAUGCAUAGCCGACCUGAGAGGGUGAUCGGCCACACUGGAACUGAGACACGGUCCAGACUCCUACGGGAGGCAGCAGUAGGGAAUCUUCCGCAAUGGGCGAAAGCCUGGCGGAGCAACGCCGCGUGAGUGAUGAAGGUCUUCGGAUCGUAAAACUCUGUUAUUAGGGAAGAACAUAUGUGUAAGUAACUGUGCACAUCUUGACGGUACCUAAGCAGAAAGCCACGGCUAACUACGU